GAGUGGUGCUACAGUGUCAUAUACGACGGUGAAGCAUCCACAACAGACCCCAACCUCGACCCCAACCCAGCAGAUCCGCGACCAACGAAAAUGCGGAACCGAAUCAGCAGUCCUCCUGUCUCAUCCCUCCAUCUGCAGGUUUUGUACAAGGGGUGCAUCCAAUUUCAAUCACUGGAACAUCAGGAGGUGAAGGCAACAACAUUGAUUCAUUCAUUGGAAACUUCCAAAUGCCCGGAGCACCUUCGUUAAAAUCCUACGUGUUCUGUUCCCUUUUCACCACCAGAGAAGCUUACACCUGUUGUGAAAGCCACACACCACACACCUGAUAGGUCGUCCGCCGGAACGAGAUGACAUCCAACUCACGGAUACUCCAACAGAUUUAGUCCACCUGAUUUGCAAGGUAGCGGUCAACACCCAUCAACAUUUGGCAAAACGGACGGAAACGGCUAGUGAUCUUCGCCGGUCGCUCUAUUCUAUCUACUUCUGUACCAUCCAAAGAGUCUGACUAUGGGUAAAACUGCAUACGACGAUGACAACAGAGGUGAAAAUGAUGCAACUAGAAAUUAUGGACGCAAUCGACCUGGUGGUGGAACCGCUGAGUGGAAGCGGUCGAAUGGAAGGACAUAUAUGCCUAAGUGAUCCUAAAGAUUGAUUAUGUAAAGAGGAUGGCAUUGUCCUUUCGUCUCAGAGUAGAAAGUUUAAUAUGGGAUUUGCUGCACGAAGCUUGAACUUUGGAGGAGGGCUGCUAUGCCCUGAACGAAACAUCUUUGGAGGCAGAGAAUGACGUAGUGGCAGUGGUCGCUGGAUGUGUCUUGGUACUGCUGACCAGAUAUGGAUGCACCGGAAAGUAAUAAUUAUCGUGCGCAAGGUAAUAGCUACCGAGAAAGAGAGCGAAAUAUUCGCGACAUUGCCCGAGGCCGAGAGAAAUCUAAACGAUAUAGAUUCCUGAUUCGCACGGAGGAUCAAUUACAAUUUCGAUAAUUACAAUGAUCAUUAUCAUCUAUAUGAUCACAAGCGUCGUCGAGACGAGAAUGGGCUUCCAUAAACUUCAAUUUCCGCCAAUACAGCCACCGGAAAUCUGCUACUCUACCUAUAAGGCAUAGAUCCUGCUUUCCCCUGUCCAACAGUAACCAGUAGCUCCGAUAUGGUGUUCCAGUCAGCAAGUUUUAAAAUCAUGGAUUAUGUACUGCAUCUUUUUGAAAUAUAAUUUUAAUAAAAAAUAAUACUUUUAAACAAUUAUUUAGAAAAUUUCAAUAUUUUGAAUGUAUCAAGCAAAAGCAAAACAAGGAAAAAUUACCCACAUUUGGGUGAAAUUUACUAAUAAACUCUUGUCAUUCAAGUACCUAUUUAUG